UACGUAGGGCGCAAGCGUUGUCCGGAAUUAUUGGGCGUAAAGAGCUCGUAGGCGGUUUGUCGCGUCUGCUGUGAAAACCUAAGGCUCAACCUUGGGCUUGCAGUGGGUACGGGCAGACUAGAGUGCGGUAGGGGUGACUGGAAUUCCUGGUGUAGCGGUGGAAUGCGCAGAUAUCAGGAGGAACACCGAUGGCGAAGGCAGGUCUCUGGGCCGAUAUUGACGCUGAGGAGCGAAAGCGUGGGGAGCGAACAGG
rnacentral:rRNA from 1 species